UCUAAUAUGGCAGACUAGUGCAAUGGAUUUAAGCUCCAUUUAUAAAGAAUUCCUUUUAUUAUUAGAA
rnacentral:tRNA from 1 species